UACGUAGGGAGCAAGCGUUGUUCGGAAUUACUGGGCGUAAAGGGCGCGUAGGCGGCGACCCAAGUCAGAUGUGAAAGUCCUGGGCUUAACCUGGGGACUGCAUUUGAUACUGGGUUGCUUGAAUUCGGGAGAGGAUAGCGGAAUUCCCAGUGUAGAGGUGAAAUUCGUAGAUAUUGGGAAGAACACCGGUGGCGAAGGCGGCUAUCUGGACCGACAUUGACGCUGAGGCGCGAAAGCGUGGGGAGCAAACAGG
rnacentral:rRNA from 1 species